rnacentral:rRNA from 1 species
UACGAAGGUCCCAAGCGUUGUUCGGAAUCACUGGGCUUAAAGGGCGCGUAGGCGGGUUUUCAAGUCUGUGGUGAAAGCCUCCAGCUUAACUGGAGAAGUGCCGUGGAUACUGGAGACCUCGAGGAGGGUAGGGGCAUCUGGAACAGCCGGUGGAGCGGUGAAAUGCGUUGAUAUCGGCUGGAACUCCGAUGGCGAAGGCAAGGUGCUGGACCCUCUCUGACGCUGAGGCGCGAAAGCCAGGGGAGCGGACGGG